GGAGAGGUGGCUCAGUGGUUAAGAGCACUGACUGCUCUUCCAGAGGUCCUGAGUUCAAUUCUCAGCAACCACA
rnacentral:tRNA from 1 species